AAAUAUGUGUCGAUUUGAUCAUAAAUGUAGUUAUAGAAAUAUUAUGGUUAGUUGUUGUGUAUUUCCAGCCAAACAGCUACCGUGGUGCUAACGUAGCAGCUAGUUGGCUCCCGCUAACAAGCUGCGGCCGUGCUCAGCUCGUGAUUGGCUCUGGAGGGUGUGUAGGCGGGACCUAGAUACCGCGGCUCCAGCACCCCAAUCACUACAGCGCAGACUCUGGCUCCAAAUGAGGUGAAAAUCUCAAAAUGGCAGCUCCCGUUUCUGGGAUAUUUUGGCUUCACUUUUGUACAGUGGGGGGAAGUGGAGACGUAUCGUCCAUCUAUAUGUACAGUCUGUGAUGAUACCAGAC